GAGACAAAGCAAAGCAGAGAAACCGGCUCUCUGAGACUGACACCUGAGAUCAACAACCAGCUAAACACUCCCUUUGUUUCCUUUUUGAGCCGCCUCACUAUUCCCUUUACUGGACAUCCCCAAAAGAUUGUUCAGUUCUUAAAUCCCUUGUGUGGUGGUAAGAGGUCUGGGAAGUUUCUGGAGGGAAGAAGUGGUUUCUGUGGGUGUGAUCUGGUGGACACCCAACGGGAAGCCUCUUUGGAAAGCCCACGAAGCCCCCGUGGGCUCUUGCCAGGUCCUCUGCCCUCUUGUUCCCAGUCUACUGCUGAGUCCACACUUAGCAUCCACUCACUUCGACUCCCAAGAAGACUGGCCCUUCAGAAGAGACAGGAAAACAUCUGUGAGGGGAAUCCCUCAACUCCAGGUGGAUGGGACCAUGUGACGAGUUCUUGCCGGUGGAUUGUAAGCAGAAGUGAUAACGCAUCACUUCCAGGCAGAAGUGGUUAAGGAGCAAGUGAGUCUUCUUGCUCUCUUCUUCUCUUGCUAUCACCUCCAUGCAGAUGGACUUAUUGACCUUGGGAACUCUGUGUUGGAGAUGGUGAAGCCAGAAGAUGGAACUAACCUCGUGCUUCAAAUGCUGCUUGGAGAACAGUUUCUGCCCUUGAGGAACACCUAUUUUGGUGUUCAUAUGAGCAAGAAGUAAACUUCUCUUGUAUUUGUGCCAUUAUACUUAUUGGAUAUCAAAUCACUCAUGACAGUGAGUGAUUUGAAUCCGGAAAACACCCAACAGCUGGAGAGAGAGCACUGGAGGCUGUGCUUCACGCAGGGCCUGGCUGGCACGCAGGCGAUACUGCAUUCUGUGAAGAGUUCCUGUAUGCUUGUCCUGCAUGUUAAAGAGGUAGCAGAACAUGUAUUCAGUAGUCUUGCCUUCUGAUAAUCCUCUUGACCAAAACUUUCAGGAUAGGCAGAAAAUUCCUCUACUGCGGUGAUAGUCUCUUAACAGCCACUAGAAAAAUGAAAAAGUAUUUCAUAACCUAGAGGAAAUUAGAGUAUGUAUAAUUUUACAAUAGCUUACUCCAUUUCUCUUUGUGAACGUAAUAUUUUGUGUUUCUCUGAGUCUGAGUCUAAAUAGUUUACAAAGACUCUAUAUAUAUAUACAUUUUAGACAGAGUCUUGCUCUGUCAUCCAGGCUGGAGUGCAGUGGUACCACCUUGGUUCUCUGCAACCUCCAUCUCCCAGGUUCAAGCAAUUCUCCUGCCUCAACCUCCUGAGUAGCUGGGAUUACAGGUAUCCACCACCACGCCCAGCUAAUUUUUGUAUUUUUAGUAAAGACAGGGGUUUCACCAUGUUGGCCAGGCUGAUCUUGAACUCUUGACCUCGGGUGAUCUGCCCGCCUCGGCCUCCCAAAGUGCUGGGAUUACAGGUGUGAGCCCCUGCACUCAGCCUACAAAGUACUUCUAUAUGUAACAUACAUCACUUGACUCUACAAACAAUUUUGGUGAUAGGAAAGCAGGAAAUAAUUGCCCCCAUCUCACAGACGAAAACAUACAGGUUUCGUGGAAUUUAGUAAUUUAAAGUUUAUACCAGGAGUGGCAGAACCAGUCCUUGAAUCGCACAACUUUAAAGCCCAAGUCUGUUUCUCCUCUGAGCUUGUUAGGUCUGAGUUUUGUUUGCUGCUGUAUUUUCAGCACCAGCCUGAAAUGUAAAAGGGUCUACUAAAUGGGCUGGUGCGGUGGCUCACGCCUGUAAUCCCAGCACUUUGGGAGGCCGAGGCGGGCGGAUCACGAGGUCAGGAGAUCGAGACCAUCCUGGUUAACACGGUGAAACCCCGUCUCUACUAAAAAUACAAAAAAAUUAGCCGGGCGUGGUGGCGGGCGCCUGUAGGCCCAGCUACUCGGGAGGCUGAGGCAGGAGAAUGGUGUGAAUCCGGGAGGCGGAGCUUGCGAUAAGCCGAGAUGGCGCAACUGCACUCCAGCCUGGGUGACAGCGAGACUCCGUUUCAAAAAAAAAAAAAGGUCUAAUAAAUGAAGAUCCUUACUGCUUCUCCUGGUUUUGGCUGAAGUCCCCACUGUCUUUGCUACAGGAAAAUGCCUACUUUGGUUUUUUUUGUUUUUUUUUUUCCAUCCAGUGUUGGAGCAGUAACAGUGGACUUGAGCUUUGAGUCAAUUAAGGUGAUGUUAGAAAGUGGAAAAUGGAGUGGUUCGCAUUCUGCUGAUUAAAGAGUGUUUUUUGGAUUUAAUGAGACUUAAAACAUUUUCCAGGGAAUUCAAAACUCCCUUGGAAUUAUAAGAAUUAUGAAACAUAUUUUGAGCAGCAUGAUGACAAUACGGCAUAGUUAAGCAUUAAAUGAAAUAAAAAUAUCCACAACCAUUUUUGCCUGUCUAAAGAUAGGAGAGUAUCUGAAAAACAAAAGAGACCAAAAUGCACCUAGAUUUUCAGGGAAAGAAAGUCCUUAUCAAUAAAGCAUCAAAUCCUAAGUAGAUGAGUGGGCUCUGUUUUACUUCUUUCUUUAU
rnacentral:lncRNA from 1 species